rnacentral:tRNA from 1 species
UUUUUGAUGGCCGAUUUAAGCGAUAAACUUUUAAUUUAUUUAUGAGGAAACUCUCUUGCGU